AUUGAACGCUGGCGGCAGGCUUAACACAUGCAAGUCGAGCGGGGUGAUGGUGCUUGCACUAUCACUUAGCGGCGGACGGGUGAGUAAUGCUUAGGAAUCUGCCUAUUAGUGGGGGACAACAUCUCGAAAGGGAUGCUAAUACCGCAUACGUCCUACGGGAGAAAGCAGGGGAUCACUUGUGACCUUGCGCUAAUAGAUGAGCCUAAGUCGGAUUAGCUAGUUGGUGGGGUAAAGGCCUACCAAGGCGACGAUCUGUAGCGGGUCUGAGAGGAUGAUCAGCCACACUGGGACUGGGACCCGGCCCAGACUCCUACGGGAGGCAGCAGUGGGGAAUAUUGGGCAAUGGGGGGAACCCUGAUCCAGCCAUGCCGCGUGUGUGAAGGAGGCCUUAUGGUUGUAAAGCACUUUAAGCGAGGAGGAGGCUCUUUUGGUUAAUACCCAAGAUGAGUGGACGUUACUCGCAGAAUAAGCACCGGCUAACUCUGUGCCAGCCGCCGCCGUAA
rnacentral:rRNA from 1 species